ACAAGCGGAGGAACAUUGUGGUUUAAUUCGAUGAUACGCGAGGACCUUACCUGGGCUUAAAUGGGGAGUGACAGCUGUCGAAAGAUGGUUUUCUUCGGACACUCUUCAAGGUGCUGCAUGGUUGUCGUCAGCUCGUGCCGUGAGGUGUCGGGUUAAGUCCCAUAACGAGCGCAACCCUUACCGUUAGUUACCAUCAGGUUAAGCUAGGGACUCUAGCGGGACUGCCACCGUAAGGUGAGAGGAAGGUGGGGAUGACGUCAAAUCAGCACGGCCCUUAUGUCCAGGGCUACACACGUGUUACAAUGGCCAGUACAAAGGGCAGCUACCGGGUGACCGGAUGCUAAUCUCUAAAGCUGGUCUCAGUUCGGAUCGAAGUCUGCAACCCGACUUCGUGAAGCUGGAUUCGCUAGUAAUCGCGCAUCAGCCAUGGCGCGGUGAAUACGUUCCCGGGCCUU
rnacentral:rRNA from 1 species